rnacentral:rRNA from 1 species
UGGGGAAUCUUGGACAAUGGGGGCAACCCUGAUCCAGCCAUGCCGCGUGAGUGAAGAAGGCCCUAGGGUCGUAAAGCUCUUUCGCCUGUGAAGAUAAUGACGGUAGCAGGUAAAGAAACCCCGGCUAACUCCGUGCCAGCAGCCGCGGUAAUACGGAGGGGGUUAGCGUUGUUCGGAAUUACUGGGCGUAAAGCGCGCGUAGGCGGACUGGAAAGUUGGGGGUGAAAUCCCGGGGCUCAACCCCGGAACUGCCUCCAAAACUCCCAGUCUUGAGGUCGAGAGAGGUGAGUGGAAUUCCGAGUGUAGAGGUGAAAUUCGUAGAUAUUCGGAGGAACACCAGUGGCGAAGGCGGCUCACUGGCUCGAUACUGACGCUGAGGUGCGAAAGCGUGGGGAGCAAACAGGAUUAGAUACCCCCGUAGUCC